rnacentral:lncRNA from 1 species
GGGAAGGGGAGGGGAGGCAGGAAGUCUGUGUCAAUAGCUGUGAGGAAAGACCAAAACUCACCAUUAAAUACUCCAUCUAUGACACAGUAGAGCAGAUUCGGGAAGGAGAGGGUGCAUUUACAAAAAUGGAGAGGGGGAGUUACGAGGGUUCCCCUACCUAAAACAUGCAUGGUUGCGCUUUCUUUUGUGAUCUUUAGAGGUGUGAAAGCUUUUGCUUCUUUCCCUUUAAAUUUGAGCUCUUACUUUUCCAAAUUUCCCAACAAGCACCUAACCUCACUCCCCCCAUUUGGUUCAUCCUUCAAUUUGUUUGAUGUGUUGGUUUGAGAGGUUGAAGCUGCCAGCAUGAUCUGGUAAUGAACCUAUUACUCUUUAUACAUAUAUCAACAAUAAUCUUAUAGCACUAUUUAUAGAUAGACAAGAUUAAUAUUGUCAUAGAUACAUAUUGAUAUAUAAACCAACGAAUCGAGGUAGGUUGUCUUAGUAGUUUAGGUUGAUCAAUUGAUUGUGAGUUUUUCUGGCUAUGAAAGUAGAAUAUAUUGGUGAUUUGUUAUAAUUAUCAAGAAAAAGGAAUUGUACUAACAGGGAAGGCACAUAGGUAAACUUGUUCCUCAUACAUGGGGUAUACGUAUUUUCCAGGAAAAAGGGUAGAAAAAUAAUUAGAAUUAAACUAGCUUGAACUUAGACCUGUAUAAAUAUAUGGUUCCACCAGGUCAUCUUGCAGCUUCAAUCACUCAUUCACCAACAGCAGAAGAGAUUCGGAAACAUGCUUUCUGGGGUCUAAUUUGCUCUCACAAGAGCUUAAUUCAUACAGGUAUGUAAAUGGAACAAUUUAAGGUGAAGCAGGAAAUUUAUCGAAGGCUGCAAGUGAUUCAAGUCUCCCACUAAAGCUGGAAAAAAGGAGAAAGCUUCGCUUGUAAGAUCCCUUGGAGCUUCUUUGCUACGUCUGCAAAAACAAGUUCCUGCUACCAAUCAGUCAAAAAGGCACCCGUGUUUCUGCACACAAAAAUUGAUCUGCCAUUUUUGAAUCUGCCACUUGAAGAAACAAAGACACAGAUCUGCUACUGCAAACCCCAGUUUCAUUGCCAUUGUACCGUUUUAGCAUUCUCUGGGGUGACACAUGUAGGACAACAUAUGACAUAUGUAAGAAAGAUCUGGAAAAAAUACCCAAAUUUUUUUUUUAAAAAAAAGUACUUACAACUUUAAGAGUUUUUUUUUUUUGAGAAAUAAUAUAUCUUCAUGAGUUGCAC